CGCCUUAUACUCUUCAGUUUCAUGGCACAUUCGCUCCUCAGAUGGUAUGAGUGGGAAUUUGGUAUUAGCACUACCUUCCUUCUGAUCUCUGCUAGGAAAAAGCUCUGCUGCCCUUUGAGUUCUGACUUCAACAAAUUCUACCUUACCAGUUGAGGACUUAAACUUGAAUGCUGUUGAGCGUUCAAGGGGCGUCCCUUAUUUGGCCAUUGGUAAACAUCUCUGUGGGCCUGCAACUGAUUUGACACCGAGAUGUUGCCUGUCUAGCAAUGGAGUCAAGAUAGCAUGCAAGAUUGCAGGAGCAAUUGUAACCUUAAAGGCCUUGCAAUAGCAACAUGCUGUCAUCAUCUUUGUCAGUGGAAACAUUACACAAACAGAAAGUUCAUGUCCGAGUCCGGGAUCACCAAGGAACAAUUUCAUGCAAUGACAUGGUGGUUCACUAGCUGGGCAGUAGAUGCUGAUCAUGGUUCAGAUCUUUCUGAUUUUAUUGAUUGCAGAUUGCAUUCACAAUCCAAGCAAUCUCUUUGAACAUUUUGAUGCUCCUGAUUCUCUUCCCGUAAAUGGUUCUCUCUUCCCACUCUUCUGUAUAAGUAUUUCGGUAGGAACCUGUGAGGAUCCACAUCAUUUGAUGGACCAGCAACCAAAUCCAGAGCGGAUCACAUUAUGAAGAGUGACGAACAUCCCCAAAGCUUGAGAAUGCUGUGACUUGGAUAAAACCAGUGCAGGAUUUUAAUUCCUUAAUUAUCAGGGUUGCUUUAAGUAUGUCGGAAAAGAAAAGGAAUAAAAAAAUAAGAGAGAUAAAGCAUUGAAUUAACAUAAUUGAAAACGUGGCACGUGGAGAUGCGGGGGAUCGAACCCCGUGCCUCUCGCAUGCAAAGCGAGCGCUCUACCAUUUGAGCUACAUCCCCGGUUGUCGUUGUUUCCAAUAUUACAUUACUAGUAAUAAUAAAAAAGCACUGUCGUAAACGGAGGAAGGAAACCCAACCCCAUUCACCACUUCCUUUCUUACGUGUGCAUGUUAUCCUA